rnacentral:rRNA from 1 species
GAUGAACGCUGGCGGCGUGCCUAAUACAUGCAAGUCGAGCGAACGGACGAGAAGCUUGCUUCUCUGAUGUUAGCGGCGGACGGGUGAGUAACACGUGGAUAACCUACCUAUAAGACUGGGAUAACUUCGGGAAACCGGAGCUAAUACCGGAUGAUAUUUUGAACCGCAUGGUUCAAAAGUGAAAGACGGUCUUGCUGUCACUUAUAGAUGGAUCCGCGCUGCAUUAGCUAGUUGGUAAGGUAACGGCUUACCAAGGCAACGAUGCAUAGCCGACCUGAGAGGGGGAUCGGCCACACUGGAACUGAGACACGGCCCAGACUCCUACGGGAGGCAGCAGUAGGGAAUCUUCCGCAAUGGGCGAAAGCCUGACGGAGCAACGCCGCGUGAGUGAUGAAGGUCUUCGGAUCGUAAAACUCUGUUAUUAGGGAAAAACAUAUGUGUAAGUAACUGUGCACAUCUUGACGGUACCUAAUCAGAAAGCCACGGCUAACUACGU